UUGUGAUUCUUUGGAACAGGUUGGGUUGGGAGGGAAUUUAAAGCCCACCCAGUUCCACUCUCUGCCAUUGGCAGGGGCACCUUCCACUAGCCCAGGUUGCUUCAACCUGGCCUUGGACACUUCCAGGGAUCCAGGGGCAGCCACAACUUCUCUGGGCAAUCUGUGCCAGGGCCUCCCCACCCUCCCAACCAGGAAUUCCUUCCCAAUAUCCCACCUAACCCUGCCCUCUGGCAGUGGGAAGCCAUUCCCCCUUGUCCUGGCACUCCAUCCCUUGUCCAAAGUCCCUCUCCAGUCACCUCCUAGAUCAUCUUUAGGUACUGGAUGGCACUUAGAUACUUUUGUAAUAAACACCCAGGAGGAAAAGGAAUCUUUAUUUAAUUAGAAUAAGAAUGUUAAGAAUGUGCAAUAAGUUGUACUUUGUUCGUGGGUUUUGGUGCAAGAAAAUGAACCCAAAGUGUUAAUGCAAGAUAUAAAGGUUGUUUGUUUUGGUGUUUUUUUUUUUUCCUGCAUUGCUGUUUCCCUGGCCUUGGACACUUCCAGGGAUGGGGCAGUUACAGCUGCUCUGGGCAACCUGGGCCAGGGCCUCCCCACCCUCACAACCCACAAUCCCUUCCCAAUAUCCCAUCUAACCCUACUCCCUGUCACUUUGAAACAAUUCCCCCUUAUCCUGUCACUCCAUCCCUUCUAAACACUCUCUCUCCAGCUUUCCUGGCUGCCCCUUCAGGUCCUUCAGGGCCCCACUCAGUCACCCCAAAGCUUCUCUGCUCCAGCCUGAACAAUCCCAACACCCAAACAUCACACACCCCAAAACAUCUCUGUGAGGAGGGGUCAUUUUAUUCUUUCAUUACUAUAAGAAGUGAAUAGAAGCAAAUGGCAUCAGUCCAAAUCCAGCCUGAUGGGAAAUCGAGAACUGGGGGUUUAAUCCACUUGCUCACAUUCCUUCAUCCACCUGCCUGAGACCUGAACUGAACUUCCAGCCAAGGGUUUUAGGCAGCUCAUUGCAGAUUUCUCCUCUUUUCCCCACUGUUCUCUAGCAUGUUUUCCACAAACACAAAUCAACUUUGUGUGUCCAUAAACCUGUGCACAAAUACACACAUCUCCAUGGGAAUAUAGAGAUGAGAGAGUCAAGAUUAACUGCUUGUAAUAAGUUCAAAAUUCAAACAUUUCCUUUGGACACUGUGGACAUUUUGAGAUGGAAAACUUUAUGAGGAAAACAACAGAUCUUUCCAGCUGGAAUUAAAUCAAAAUUUACCUUUCUCUUUCCCAGGCUGAACAAUCCCAACUCCCUCAACCUUUUCCUCACGGCAGAGCUGCUCCAUCCCUCUGAUAUCCUGGUGUCCCUUUCCUCUCCAUAUUCUGUAUAAUGCAUUACUGCAGCGUAAAAAUAAUGUUUCCCCCUCUACAUUUAUUGCAGAAAUGAUGAAUUGUGUUUUCCAGCUUUCCCUAAGUGGAAGUUGCCUUGGAAAAUGAGCAUUUGAAAGCCUGGUGUGAGGUAGACCCUGUCAGUGCACAUUAACGACGGGCUCUGCUGUUUGAUGGAAUUAUCUUGGAUGCUGUUUGAGGAGAGGAUUCCCACACUGACCCACUGCAGCUCUCGCUGUCCCAAAGGAGAUUUUGAGGGGACAAGAGGAGGAGGAAACUCCUGACAAAGGCUUCAAGGAAGGACAUGGCAGAACAUGGCAACUGCAGUCCUGCAAUUCCCAACAUCCAGAGCUCUGUGAGAUGAUGGAAGCCCUGGAGAUCCAGUGGCAGAAAUGGUGAUCACUCCAAUUCCAGGGCUGAGGUGUCUGUGUCAAUCACAUCAAGCUUUGAGAUCUAUGGACUUGGAAAGGAUGUCCUGGAGAAGGGAAUUUCUGUGGAUGAAAGGAUGAACCCUGAUGGGAGCAAAACCUUCCACUUCUUCAGGGGGUUUUGUGCCAGUGGAACUGGGGGAAAAAAAAUCAUCUGGCCAGUGGGAUGUGGAGCAAAUUGGUUGUGAUGGGGUGUGUGAAAGACAUGAGCUUUCAUUGGAGGGAAUAAACGAAAAAUCAGAGAUCAUUUCUCCACCUGGAAUGGAAAACUCUCUCUCACGAGACUUCAAAGGGAGCAACGAGAUGAGAUUGUUCUACCAAAACUGGGGGGAUUCAUUAAUGGGAAAAAUAUCCCUAAUUCCCUGCUUGCCAGGGAAAAGUAUCUACAAGUUCCCUGCUUGCCACAGGUGACAGGCAAAAUUGCAUUUAUAUUUUAAUUCAUGACAGGGAAUUGCUACUAAGCACCUUCUAUUUGUAAACCUGAUUUAGCAGUGACUUGUGCUUUGGGAAGCAGAUGGUUCUUGCCUGUUAGUUGGAGCACCUUUGGGGAAUUGUGCCUUCCAGGAGAGGAAAAAUAGUCAUAAUAAACUGGUGUCAUCUUUAA